UACGAAGGGUGCAAGCGUUACUCGGAAUCACUGGGCGUAAAGCGUGCGUAGGCGGUUCGUUAAGUCUGCUGUGAAAGCCCUGGGCUCAACCUGGGAACUGCAGUGGAUACUGGCGGACUAGAGUGUGAUAGAGGAUGGUGGAAUUCCCGGUGUAGCGGUGAAAUGCGUAGAGAUCGGGAGGAACACCAGUGGCGAAGGCGGCCAUCUGGAUCAACACUGGACGCUGAGGCACGAAAGCGUGGGGAGCAAACGGGAUU
rnacentral:rRNA from 1 species